rnacentral:tRNA from 1 species
UUAUAGGUCUUAUAUUCAUAAAAUAUGAUAUUAAAUUGCAAAUUUAAAGGAGUAAUAAUUACUAAGACUU